GACGAACGCUGGCGGCGUGCUUAACACAUGCAAGUCGAACGGAAAGGCCCUGCUUUUGUGGGGUGCUCGAGUGGCGAACGGGUGAGUAACACGUGAGUAACCUGCCCUUGACUUUGGGAUAACUUCAGGAAACUGGGGCUAAUACCGGAUAGGAGCUCCUGCUGCAUGGUGGGGGUUGGAAAGUUUCGGCGGUUGGGGAUGGACUCGCGGCUUAUCAGCUUGUUGGUGGGGUAGUUGCUUACCAAGGCUUUGACGGGUAGCAGGCCUGUGAGGGUGACCGGACACAUUGGGACUGAGAUACGGCCCAGACUGCUACGGGAGGCAGCAGUGGGGAAUAUUGCACAAUGGGCGGAAGCCUGAUGCAGCAACGCCGCGUGCGGGAUGACGGCCUUCGGGUUGUAAACCGAUUUCGCCUGUGACGAAGCGUGAGUGACGGUAAUGGGUAAAGAAGCACCGGCUAACUACGUG
rnacentral:rRNA from 1 species